AUGGCGGUCGUCAGCUCGUGUCGUGAGAUGUUGGGUUAAGUCCCGCAACGAGCGCAACCCACGUCUUUAGUUGCCAGCAUUCAGUUGGGCACUCUAGAGAGACCGCCGGUGAUAAACCGGAGGAAGGUGUGGAUGACGUCAAGUCAUCAUGCCCCUUACAUCCUGGGCUACACACGUACUACAAUGCUACGGACAAAGGGCAGCAAACUCGCGAGAGCUAGCAAAUCCCAUAAACCGUGGCUCAGUUCAGAUCGUAGGCUGCAACUCGCCUACGUGAAGGAGGAAUCGCUAGUAAUCGCAGGUCAGCAUACUGCGGUGAAUACGUUCCCGGGCCUUGUACACACCGCCCGUCACACCAUGGAAGUUGGCCAUGCCCGAAGUCGUUACUCCAACCCGCAAGGGAGGAGGACGCCGAAGGUGGGGCUGAUGACUGGGGUGAAGUCGUAACAAGGUAGCCGUACCGGAAGGUGCGGCUGGAUCACCUCCUAAC
rnacentral:rRNA from 3 species